rnacentral:rRNA from 1 species
AUAUUAAGCAAAACUACAUAAAAGUAAGUCUCAGUUCGGAUUGAAGGCUGAAAUUCGCCUACCAUGAAGCUGGAAUUGCUAGUAAUGGCAGGUCAGCAUACUGCCGUGAAUACGUUCCCGGGCCUUGUACACACCGCCCGUCACACCAUGAGAGUUGGGGAUACCCUAAGCCUGUGAGCCAACUGUAAAGAGGCAGCAGUCGAAGGUAGAAUCAAUGAUUGGGGUGAAGUCGUAACAAGGUACC